UAAGUGAAUGUGAUGAUAGCAUAGUUCAGCAGAUUGUCUCUGACGAAUAUUUUUCGCCCCUAUCUGAAUAACGCU